rnacentral:lncRNA from 1 species
AUGAUUCUUAACGACUUGUUCUAUCCUCAAGAUGCGGAGUUAAACUCUGAAGAUAAACAUUGCGCUAGACUUUAGAGAUUUCAAAGUGUGGAAGUACAACUCUAGUGGAGCUUAUACAGCAAAAUCCGGGUACUGGUUAGCCUUAAAAUUGUGUUAAAAAAAAGGUUAGCCUUAAAAAUAUCUAAAUCUGAAUUAAAAAGUCUGGCCAUACCGGUUGGAUUUGGUAUGGGAUCUAUAUCCCCAUUUUUUUGGUAUAUGGUAUGUAAUCCUUAUUGUUUCAUACUGUGUUUCGAAGCUUAUAGUAAUAUGGAGAGGUUAUAGUGGAAAACAAUUGUGCGCAUUUUGUACCUGUUUUACAGAAUGUCAGGAUAUUGAUGGUC